rnacentral:rRNA from 1 species
GACGAACCGUGCGAACGUUGUUCGGAAUCACUGGGCUUAAAGGGCGCGUAGGCGGCCCGCCGCGUCCGGGGUGAAAUCCUCCCGCUCAACGGGAGAACGGCCUCGGAUACGGGCGGGCUGGAGGGGGGUAGGGGCAGGCGGAACUGUGGGUGGAGCGGUGAAAUGCGUUGAGAUCCACAGGAACUCCGGUGGCGAAGGCGGCCUGCUGGACCCCACCUGACGCUGAGGCGCGAAAGCCAGGGGAGCGAACAGG